UACGGAGGGUGCAAGCGUUAUCCGGAUUCACUGGGUUUAAAGGGUGCGUAGGAGGGCAGGGAAGUCAGUGGUGAAAUCUCCGGGCUUAACUCGGAAACUGCCGUUGAUACUCUCUGUCUUGAAUACCGUGGAGGUGAGCGGAAUAUGUCAUGUAGCGGUGAAAUGCUUAGAUAUGACAUAGAACACCAAUUGCGAAGGCAGCUCACUACACGACAAUAUUGACUCUGAGGCACGAAAGCGUGGGGAUCAAACAGGAUUAGAACGUACCGGUAGUCAAGUCCGAAGAC
rnacentral:rRNA from 1 species